UGACAGCCUAUUGCCCAUCUUUCACUUUUGUUUAGUCGUUCUAAGCUCUCUCAAAUCCUCUUUCACAAUUUCUCGAUCUCACUCACUCAGCCCUCCUCUCAUCUCUUCUCUCUUUCUUGCUCACACCCAUAUCGACGACAGUCACUGUCACCUCCUCAGAAACCCUAACCCACAUCGGCGACGACGACCUUUCCACCUCCAUCUCUCACUCUCAGUCACCUCUUUCGACCUCCAUGUCUAGAGAUGGCGUCUCAGGUAGACAAAUUGGCUUUUCUCCUACACAUUUGGGUUUUCUUUUCCUUGUUUCAAUUUCAUAUAAGGGUUUGAAUUUUUGGUGCUUGAUGUGAGUUCAAGUCCUUCCAAGUCAAAUUUGGGUGAGAUUGUACAGAAAUUUGUUGAAACAUAAUUGUGGGUUUAAUUUAAAAUUUUACUCUCUUUGUUUACAAUUAAUAUUUUCAGCUUGUGUAGAGAAUGUUAUUUCAGUGGGAUUAUACAAGAACUUUUUGAACUAAAAUUUUGAGAUUGUGCAACAAAUAUUUCUCAGUUUGUCUUAAGGAAUAUUAUGCUUGAAGCUUGUCCAAUCUACAAUGAUUUUGAAGAUUUUCUUUUGCUUAUUGAAUUUGAUUACUGAGUUAGGUUUUUAUUCUGACAAAAAACAAUUGAAGAAACACAGUUAUUUGGUUCAAUGGUCUGAAUUUGUUUGUUCUAUUUUGGGAUGUGAUUUUUUGAAUGAACUACAUAAAUUGAUUAUGUCUUGAGGUGGAGGAUAUCUCCAAAAGUGACUGUGGAGUUUGUAAGUUUUAUGAGAAUGCCAAUAUUUUAACAUAAGUUUGAUAUUGUAAAGUUGGCAUAUGUUGGAUCUUAGUUUUCUCUAUUUUUCGUAAUUCAAUCUUGGAUAUGUUUUUGGUGCAGUCUAUAGUCCUCAAGGUGGGUAUCAUGCCAAGAUUGUGUUGGUGCCGUGAAAAGGGUUCUUAGAAAACUUGAAGGUUUGACAGCUCUUGCAUUUAUCCAGUUCCAUUGUCUUGCUCUUCUUCUUCUCUGAGAUUGUGCUUCUUUAACUGUUUGAACAAUGCCAAAUGCACUAUUGAUGUUCCUUAUUUGUAUUUUUAUUCGCCUGCCAAGACACACAUUCACUUCACCCAUGUUUAUAAUAACUUUUAUAUUGGAAUUGAGUAGUACGAAAUCGUGUGCAUGAAUGUGAACUUUAAUUUUGCAAUGGUACUAUCUUGUGAAAGUUUGCUAUAUGAAGAAUUGGGUCAUUUAAAAAAGCCAACAAUCUGUAUGAAGAUAGGAUUCUUGAAGGUCGUCCUUCACUGGAGAAAUCACUGAUAGAUUUCUCAGAGGUAUAUAUAACUCAGCAAAAUUCAAGCUCAGCUCUUAAAAGAUGUAUAUCAUAAUAUUUUUUUUUUCUUUCUUCUAUUAAAAAAUGUAUAUCAUACUGUAGUUUUACAUUUAUCCACUCUAUUUGUUGUAGUGCAUGUAAAUGUAUGUGUAUGAUACUUGUAGUGCAUGUAAAUAUGUCUGAACUUGU
rnacentral:lncRNA from 1 species